GAUGAACGCUGGCGGCGUGCCUAAUACAUGCAAGUCGAGCGAACGGACGAGAAGCUUGCUUCUCUGAUGUUAGCGGCGGACGGGUGAGUAACACGUGGAUAACCUACCUAUAAGACUGGGAUAACUUCGGGAAACCGGAGCUAAUACCGGAUAAUAUUUUGAACCGCAUGGUUCAAAAGUGAAAGACGGUCUUGCUGUCACAUAUAGAUGGAUCCGCGCUGCAUUAGCUAGUUGGUAAGGUAACGGCUUACCAAGGCAACGAUGCAUAGCCGACCUGAGAGGGUGAUCGGCCACACUGGAACUGAGACACGGUCCAGACUCCUACGGGAGGCAGCAGUAGGGAAUCUUCCGCAAUGGGCGAAAGCCUGACGGAGCAACGCCGCGUGAGUGAUGAAGGUCUUCGGAUCGUAAAACUCUGUUAUUAGGGAAGAACAUAUGUGUAAGUAACUGUGCACACCUUGACGGUACCUAAUCAGAAAGCCACGGCUAACUACGUGCCAGCAGCCGCGGUAAUACGUAGGUGGCAAGCGUUAUCCGGAAUUAUUGGGCGUAAAGCGCGCGUAGGCGGUUUUUUAAGUCUGAUGUGAAAGCCCACGGCUCAACCGUGGAGGGUCAUUGGAAACUGGAAAACUUGAGUGCAGAAGAGGAAAGUGGAAUUCCAUGUGUAGCGGUGAAAUGCGCAGAGAUAUGGAGGAACACCAGUGGCGAAGGCGACUUUCUGGUCUGUAACUGACGCUGAUGUGCGAAAGCGUGGGGAUCAAACAGGAUUAGAUACCCUGGUAGUCCACGCCGUAAACGAUGAGUGCUAAGUGUUAGGGGGUUUCCGCCCCUUAGUGCUGCAGCUAACGCAUUAAGCACUCCGCCUGGGGAGUACGACCGCAAGGUUGAAACUCAAAGGAAUUGACGGGGACCCGCACAAGCGGUGGAGCAUGUGGUUUAAUUCGAAGCAACGCGAAGAACCUUACCAAAUCUUGACAUCCUUUGACAACUCUAGAGAUAGAGCCUUCCCCUUCGGGGGACAAAGUGACAGGUGGUGCAUGGUUGUCGUCAGCUCGUGUCGUGAGAUGUUGGGUUAAGUCCCGCAACGAGCGCAACCCUUAAGCUUAGUUGCCAUCAUUAAGUUGGGCACUCUAAGUUGACUGCCGGUGACAAACCGGAGGAAGGUGGGGAUGACGUCAAAUCAUCAUGCCCCUUAUGAUUUGGGCUACACACGUGCUACAAUGGACAAUACAAAGGGCAGCGAAACCGCGAGGUCAAGCAAAUCCCAUAAAGUUGUUCUCAGUUCGGAUUGUAGUCUGCAACUCGACUACAUGAAGCUGGAAUCGCUAGUAAUCGUAGAUCAGCAUGCUACGGUGAAUACGUUCCCGGGUCU
rnacentral:rRNA from 1 species